GAGGGCUUUAUUUAUAGCCUCCUUUUUUUCUGUCACUAUUAGAUAAAUUCUAUGCAAGAAUGUUCUCCAAGGUUUCUCUCUGUUCUUACCCUUCGGCUUCCAGGGCCAGAGGUCUUGCAUUGGCUCUGCUUUGCUCUCUGUUCUCCUGGCCAUCCUCAGACCCAGAGCCACAGGUAAAGAAAGCAGGAAACUGUGACUAAAUGAAGAUCACAGAGCCAGUUGAUCAGUGGGGAAGCUGCAUCUGAAAUCCAGGACUUCUAGAUCCUGGGUCAACUGGUAAUCACAAGCGUACAGAUAACAGGCAGGCAGGAAUGUGAAAAUCAGAGAGAAGAGAGAUGUGCACCAGAAGCUGGAGUAAUGUGCUUUGAAGAUGGAGGAAGGGACCAUAAAUCAAGGAAUGCAGACAGCCUGUAGAAGCUGGGAAAGGCAAGGAUGUGGAUUCACUCGAGUCUCUAGAAGAAACGCAACCCCGCCAACACCUUGAUUUGAGGACGUCUGACCUUCAGAAUGAGAAAAUGAUACAUUUGUGUUGUAAGCCACCCAGUUUGUGAAAUAUGUAUCAACAAUUGAAAACUAGUACAUAGUCAAAUACUCAAUCUCUGUUUUUUUUAGCUUAUCAUUUUCAAUCUCUGUCUCCAACCCACAAACCACAUGCAUCAUAAAUAAAUUAAAAUACCAAAA
rnacentral:lncRNA from 10 species